AUGAUAAUACCAGGAAUCAAAGUUUUUGCUGAUAGUAUCGCAUUAGAAGCGGAAUCGCGGAGGCGUGCAUUACAUGAUCAAGUGCCUUCAAAUAUUUACCUAAGCAAGGAGUAUAGCCAAUAUGGCCGGCAAAUUGGGAAGUCUAUUGGUAAACUUACGCCAACUACUGACAGUGUCAAAGCCAGGGCUAGUGAGCUUAUUAAAGCUUUAGAUGGACAAGAUUGUCCUCGUCCAAUCGCUUGUCGUUUAUUUGCAGACAAGAUGAUUUCAAUAGUCAAGAGUCGAAAUACAAAGGACAAAACCUUUGGACCGUUAGCCUUUGCUUGUGGAUAUGUAAUGCUACUAGUCACUAAUCAGGUACCAGAUGUGAUGGGUUAUCUCCUAGCUGAGUUCCACAAAGUUUGCAUGUACACAGUUCCAAAGCAUCUGCAUGCUUUAAAUGCACAAGCACGAAACCCGGAUUACUACAGGCUUAUUGGCUACCAGGAAGAAGAUGAAAAACCUCAGAGCACUGAGUCGUAUUUGGUAAAUGUUGUUGCAUACGUCAAACUGUAUGCUGCCAUGAUUCAGAUGGCCGGUUUCGCACUUCACAAGAAAUAUGGAUCGCAGUUCAUGAAGAUCCUAGAUGUAAUAUCGCGGCGCUUCAUACCAGCUUUGAAAGAACUGGGCGUAAAGGUUCAGGCAGAGGCUGUCAGCAAUCUACAGAAUUAUCUGAACGACAAGGUUUAUCUGGAGGAGCCGGAAGGGCAGUACCUCGCCCAGCACCUGCUGUCGAAGGUGUUCAUGUGUGAAGAUCAACACCGGAUGGCUACCAGUGCUCCGGUUUCGUCGAGGGAGUAA
rnacentral:rRNA from 1 species